rnacentral:rRNA from 1 species
AGCGAACGCUGGCGGCAGGCCUAACACAUGCAAGUCGAACGGCAGCACAGGAGAGCUGGCUCUCUGGGUGGCGGGGGGCGGACGGGUGAGGAAUACAUCGGAAUCUGUCCAGUCGUGGGGGAUAACGUAGGGAAACUUACACUAAUACCGCAUACGACCUGCGGGUGAAAGAGGGGGAUCGCAAGACCCCGCGCGAGUGGAUGAGCCGAUGGCUGAUCAGCUAGUUGGCGGGGUAGUGGCUCACCAAGGCUUUGAUGGGUAGCCGGCCUGAGAGGGUGAACGGCCACAUUGGGACUGAGAUACGGCCCAGACUCCUACGGGAGGCAGCAGUGGGGAAUAUUGCACAAUGGGCGGAAGCCUGAUGCAGCAACGCCGCGUGCGGGAUGACGGCCUUCGGGUUGUAAACCGCUUUCGCCUGUGACGAAGCGUGAGUGACGGUAAUGGGUAAAGAAGCACCGGCUAACUACGUG